rnacentral:rRNA from 1 species
UUCCGGUUGAUCCUGCCGGAGGCUACCGCUAUUGGAGUUCGAUUAAGCCAUGCGAGUCUAAGGGACUUCGGUCCCUGGCAUAAUGCUCAGUAACAAGUGGAUAAUCUGCCCUUAGGUGAGGAAUAAACCCGGGAAACUGGGGCUAAUACCUCAUAGACACAAGAAGCUGGAAUGCUCCUGUGUUCAAAGCUCCGGCGCCUAAGGAUGAGUCUGCUUCCUAUCAGGUUGUAGUCAGGGUCAAGACCUGACUAGCCAACGACGGGUACGGGCCUUGAGAGAGGUUGCCCGGAGAUGGACUCUGAGACACGAGUCCAGGCCCUACGGGGCGCAGCAGGCGCGAAAACUUGGCAAUGCGAGAAAUCGUGACCAGGGAACUCCAAGUGCAUCGGGUAAGACCCAGUCUUUUCUUGACUCUUCAAAGGUCUUGGAAUAAGGGGUGGGUAAGGACGGUGCCAGCCGCCGCGGUAAUACCGGCGCCCCAAGUGGUAGUCGCUUUUAUUGGGCCUAAAACGUCCGUAGCCGGUCUGGUACAUUCGUGGGUAAAUCAACCAGCUCAACUGGUUGAAUUCUGCGAGCACGGCCAGACUUGGGACCGGGAGAGGUGUGGGGUACUCUCAGGGUAGGGGUAAAAUCCUGUCAUCCUGAGAGGACCACCUGUUGCGAAGGCGCCACACUAGAACGGAUCCGACGGUCAGGGACGAAGCCUAGGGGCACGAACCGGAUUAGAUACCCGGGUAGUCCUAGGUGUAAACGCUGUGGACUUGAUGUUGGGGGCGCUCCGAGCGCACUCAGUGUCGAAGCGAAGGUGAUAAGUCCACUGCCUGGGGAGUACGGUCGCAAGGCUGAAACUUAAAGGAAUUGGCGGGGGAGCACCGCAACCUGAGGAUUGUGCGGUUUAAUUGGAUUCAACGCCGGA